rnacentral:rRNA from 1 species
UACAUAGGUAGCGAGCGUUAUCCGGAAUAACUGGGUGUAAAGGGAGUGUAGGUGGAUAUAUAAGUCUGAUGUGAAAGCCCGGGGCUUAACCCUGAGGAUUGCACCAGAAACUGUGUAUCUAGAGUACGAGAGAGGCAAGUGGAAUUCCUAGUGUAGCGGUAGAAUGCGUAGAGAUUAGGAGGAACACCGGAGGCGAAGGCGACUUGCUGGCUCGCAACUGACACUGAGACUCGAAAGUGUGGGGAGCAAA